UGAGGUCACACUGAACAGCCUCAUAGAGAAAUCCACCUGGCAAGGAAAUGAGGCCUCCUACAACAGCCAGCAAUGAACUGAGGUCUUCUGCCAACAAUCCUGUGAGUGAGCCAUUUUAGAGUUAAUCCUUCAGCCAUAGUCAAUCCUUUAGAUUACUGUUAGCCCACACAAACAUCUUGGUUGCCGCAUCAUGAGAGACCCUGGGUCAGACCCACCCAGCUAAGCUGCUACCAAAUUCAUGACCUAUGGAAACUGUGCUCAGCAUCUAAACCUAAGGGGAAGUUUACUAGCUUUGAUUUAAUGGAAGCGGUGAGUGUUAUGUAGAAGAUAGAAACGUGCAAGGGGCCACAAUAGAUGACAAAAGCUGCAGAGAAAGGCAUGAAGAGAGAAAUGAAUUAGAAAGUUGGUGCUGAAGAUUCAAAAUGAGAAAAUAGAUACAUGCUGGUGAGUAAACUCUUCCCACUCUCUUUGAUGUCAUUCCGAGAUUCACAGAGAGUAGUGUAAAAGGGACUUCCAGGCAGAGUGAGACAAGAAGUUGAGUCAUAGCACAUUAAAAUUGAGAGCAGUAACAAUUAUUACCAAAUAGGAAUGUUUUCUUCUA